rnacentral:rRNA from 1 species
AGUGAACGCUGGCGGUAGGCCUAACACAUGCAAGUCGAACGGCAGCACAGUAAGAGCUUGCUCUUACGGGUGGCGAGUGGCGGACGGGUGAGGAAUACAUCGGAAUCUACUUUUUCGUGGGGGAUAACGUAGGGAAACUUACGCUAAUACCGCAUACGACCUACGGGUGAAAGCAGGGGAUCUUCGGACCUUGCGCGAUUGAAUGAGCCGAUGUCGGAUUAGCUAGUUGGCGGGGUAAAGGCCCACCAAGGCGACGAUCCGUAGCUGGUCUGAGAGGAUGAUCAGCCACACUGGAACUGAGACACGGUCCAGACUCCUACGGGAGGCAGCAGUGGGGAAUAUUGGACAAUGGGCGCAAGCCUGAUCCAGCCAUACCGCGUGGGUGAAGAAGGCCUUCGGGUUGUAAAGCCCUUAUGUUGGGAAAGAAAAGCAGCAGGUUAAUACCCCGCUGUUCUGACGGUACCCAAAGAAUAAGCACCGGCUAACUUCAUG